rnacentral:rRNA from 1 species
CCUACGGGAGGCAGCAGUGGGGAAUAUUGGGCAAUGGGCGCAAGCCUGACCCAGCAACGCCGCGUGAAGGAAGAAGGCUUUCGGGUUGUAAACUUCUUUUCUCAGGGACGAAGCAAGUGACGGUACCUGAGGAAUAAGCCACGGCUAACUACGUGCCAGCAGCCGCGGUAAUACGUAGGUGGCAAGCGUUAUCCGGAUUUACUGGGGGUAAAGGGCGGGUAGGGGGGAAAUAAAGUCAGAUGUGAAAACCAUGGGCUCAACCUGUGGCCUGCAUUUGAAACUGUUUUUCUUGAGUACUGGAGAGGCAGACGGAAUUCCUAGUGUAGCGGUGAAAUGCGUAGAUAUUAGGAGGAACACCAGUGGCGAAGGCGGUCUGCUGGACAGCAACUGACGCUGAGGCGCGAAAGCGUGGGGAGCAAACAGGAUGAGAUACCCCAGUAGUC